AGCGAAGAGAAAAGUAGCGAUUUUCUCACAUAGCCGUCACGCGCUUUAUAGAAUAUAGCCGGAAUACAGGGUGACCGCUCCGUAAGUCUAUAAGUAAGCCGCCUUG
rnacentral:sRNA from 12 species